rnacentral:rRNA from 1 species
GUAGGCGGCAAGCGUUGUCCGGAAUUAUUGGGCGUAAAGCGCGCGCAGGCGGUCCUUUAAGUCUGAUGUGAAAGCCCACGGCUCAACCGUGGAGGGUCAUUGGAAACUGGGGGACUUGAGUACAGAAGAGGAAAGCGGAAUUCCAAGUGUAGCGGUGAAAUGCGUAGAGAUUUGGAGGAACACCAGUGGCGAAGGCGGCUUUCUGGUCUGUAACUGACGCUGAGGCGCGAAAGCGUGGGGAGCAAACAGGGAUUAGAUACCCUGGUAGUCCACGCCGUAAACGAUGAGUGCUAAGUGUUAGGGGGUUUCCCGCCCCUUAGUGCUGCAGCUAACGCAUUAAGCACUCCGCCUGGGGAUACGGCCGCAAGGCUG